GAACGCUGGCGGCAGGCCUAACACAUGCAAGUCGAGCGGUAGAGAGGUGCUUGCAUCUCUUGAGAGCGGCGGACGGGUGAGUAAUGCCUAGGAAUCUGCCUGGUGUGGGGGAUAACGUUCGGAAACGGACGCUAAUACCGCAUACGUCCUACGGGAGAAAGCGGGGGAUCUUCGGACCUCGCGCCAUUAGAUGAGCCUAGGUCGGAUUAGCUAGUUGGUGAGGUAAUGGCUCACCAAGGCGACGAUCCGUAACUGGUCUGAGAGGAUGAUCAGUCACACUGGAACUGAGACACGGUCCAGACUCCUACGGGAGGCAGCAGUGGGAAUAUUGGACAAUGGGCGAAAGCCUGAUCCAGCCAUGCCGCGUGUGUGAAGAAGGUCUUCGGAUUGUAAAGCACUUAAGUUGGGAGGAAGGGCAGUUACCUAAUACGUAUCUGUUUUGACGUUACCGACAGAAUAAGCACCGGCUAACUCUGUG
rnacentral:rRNA from 1 species